AAACAGGGAUAGGCAACAACAACUGCAAUAUUAUAAAACAGGGAGGGAAUGGGAAGAGAUUUAUUUGAAUCCCUGAGCUUGUGAGUCUGUGUUUGAAGUUUGAAGCUCCAGAGGAAGUUCACGUGGGUUUGCCAUUAUUCAAUUCACAGAGGACAAAUUGCAAAUCUUGCAGGGUUAUGCUAUGCUGUGGAAGGGGGAUGAUGCAGGGGACUCAGAUCCCUCAUGUGCCUGCCAAUUCUUCCCCAUCCUGGACGGCUCUUUCCUCACAAAGCGCCAAUGGUGUAUUGAGGAGUUGUUUCUAGCAUUUUGUUUGAAAUUCUCGAGGGCUAUGAGGGAGAGCCCUUGAAAGCCAAACAUGAUGAGACCAGCAAAACAAGUUUCUGUGAGCAGAGAAAACUGAAGGAUGGCACAUGGUGAGGUGGUAGAGCAGGGACAGGGAGAAGGGGUCUUAUUAAUUCCAAAGGGUCAGAUGACGUUUGGAAUUCAAGUACGGCAGCUGAAUCUCCUUCCCAAUCUUCCAUUGUUUGAGAAACUGCGGGACAGCUACCAUUUAUGGUCAAAGGUAAACGAUGUGGUGUGUGCGAGUAAUUACCAAUUCGUGUCUAUUUCUGUGUGAUGUAAUGUCGUGGAGCUCAGCUCAGAAGCCUAAACGGCGUUGAUUUCGGGUGUUGAUCUUGAAUUUUGAUUGAGGUGAGGUGACAGGUGGAGUCAACCGAGGAGAUUUGGUGACUUGAGCUGUUGAUGCAGAAGAGCAUCAGUCGCUUGAAGUAGCACAUGUGUAUGUCAGAGCAUGGUAUCGAUGUAUAGUGCUCAACCAAAUGUACUAUAAAACUUAAGUUAGAACUAAGGUGGGAAGAGCAGAGAAGUGGCGAGCUAGAAAUUAAGUGCGAGAUGUUGCGUAUCUUACAUAAGAGGGAAAUUCGGGGAAACUGGUAUAGGUGGUUAGAGUUUGUACUUGUUAGCAAAGGAAUCUUUAGCCAACAAUUACGGACAUCCAAACAGUAGAAUCAUUCUUAUUAGAAUGUUAGCAGAUAUGCCUGAAGAAGAGACCGAGCUGACCUGCUUGUUGCGUGACACGAGCUUUUCCUCCUCGACUCGAUGGUUUGAGCUCAAUCCCUAGGUCACAUUGUCACACGGAAGUGGUCCACGUGCCUCUAAUAGUGUAGCACUUGGUAAUAUUAUGUAGCUUUAAACGACCACUUCCUCUUAAUAGUGUAGCCCUUAGUAAUAUUAUGUAGCUUUAAACAUUUUGUCAAUGUACGUCAAGCAUAUUAAAUUUAAA